GUAUAAAGUUUUAUAGGCGCAAAGACCUAAUAAACAAGACAUUCUGACUUUUUUUGUAUAUAGAUAGGCAUAGACUACAACAUUGAAGGACAGCUAAAGACGCAAGUCCCUCCAUCCAGUCCAAAGACUGAGUAGUGUCGUAGCCUACAAAAGUGCACAAUUGGUUGAAGAUGAAAUAGCGAAGGGCGUGCACAAUGCUCCCAAAGGAACCAGCGACAACCCUUCAUUAAUUCAGUAAUGAUCCUUCCGCAGGUUCACCUACGGAAA
rnacentral:misc_RNA from 1 species